CGUAAACGAUGAGUGCUAAGUGUUAGGGGGUUUCCGCCCCUUAGUGCUGCAGCUAACGCAUUAAGCACUCCGCCUGGGGAGUACGACCGCAAGGUUGAAACUCAAAGGAAUUGACGGGGGCCCGCACAAGCGGUGGAGCAUGUGGUUUAAUUCGAAGCAACACGAAGAACCUUACCAGGGCUUGACAUCCAGUGCAAAGCUAUAGAGAUAUAGUGGAGGUUAACAUUGAGACAGGUGGUGCAUGGUUGUCGUCAGUUCGUGCCGUGAGGUGUUGGGUUAAGUCCCGCAACGAACGCAACCCUUGUCGUUAGUUACUAACAUUAAGUUGAGGACUCUAACGAGACUGCUAGUGUAAGCUAGAGGAAGGUGGGGAUGACGUCAAAUCAUCAUGCCCCUUAUGUCCUGGGCUACACACGUGCUACAAUGGCUGGUACAAAGAGUCGCAAUCUCGCGAGGGGGAGCUAAUCUCAAAAAGCCAGUCUCAGUUCGGAUUGAAGUCUGCAACUCGACUUCAUGAAGCCGGAAUCACUAGUAAUCGCGAAUCAGCUAUGUCGCGGUGAAUACGUUCUCGGGUCUUGUACACACCGCCCGACACACCACGAGAGUUGGUAAUACCAGAAGUGGGUAGCUUAACCGCAAGGAG
rnacentral:rRNA from 1 species